GACUAGAAGGUAGAUAGGUUGGAGGUGUAAGCAUGGUAACAUGUGUAGCUGACCAAUACUAACGGUUCGAGGGUUUGACCUAAAAAACA
rnacentral:rRNA from 1 species